CAGUGUGGAUUGUUAACCGAUUUCGUGACGUCAUCGUGUGGAGAGCGAUUACGUCAUUCGCGAUGGAGACGCCAUUUUGCGGCGCCAUGGAGGCGAGAGCACAGCGUGGUUCGUUUCGCUCUCCCCAAACACUCCACUCGCUCGCUACACUCACACGUUCCUCUGUAGUAUGCACAGACACCCCGCACACUCGCAUGCCCCUAGUACGCACAAACACUGUCUAAUACGCACAAACACUCUACGCACACGCGCUCCACCGCACGCGAUGGAGCUCUGUCUCGGAUGGAGGCCGCUGCUAUGAGCCCCGAGUUACGCGGGGAACCCGACUAAGAAUCCUGGCCUAAAGGUCAGAACUCUUCGAGAAUGCAGAUUCUGGAGUCAUCGGAUGCAAUCGCUUGAAGGUUGCAGGUUCCAAGAUCCUGGAUCUUCAAAGAUUUUAAUCACAAAGUUUCACAUUCCAAGGUGAUAUCCACGUCUGGAUGGGACCUUUUUGUGUAAUGUCUGUCUUGAAGAUGAAAGAAAAUGCAUCCAAGCCUUGUCAUUGGUGAACAUGGAGUCAACACAAUUCCUCUACUGAAGUCUUAACACGGGGUCAUUUACAGGCAUAUAAACAUACAUAUAGGGAAGUGAAAAGCAAAACUAGGAAACACGAGGCGUUAUCGAAAAGUUGGCAUUGGUGGUAGAAAUGUAUACAAUUAAACAGAUGCAUAACAAUAAGUUGAGAGACAUUAAAGGCCCUUAAAUAUACAAGGAUAUAAAAUGACCGGUCAUUCCACUUCGAAUAAACUGAUUCAAUGCUCAAGGUGAACAUUAACUUAAUACAGAUUUUAAAAUGGCCUUAGAAAGAAUGAAGAAAAUUAAAUAUUUAAACUAUUACAUCUCAUGGGUCUCAAAAGAGAACCCUUCAUUAUGGAAGGAACCAUUGUUAAAGGGGUAAAAAAUGAAGUGAAAAAACCUGAUGUUAUCCUAACAGAAUAAGAGAUGCACCUUUGUCAUGGUAAUCGGCAGCGCUGCACCAUCGCGAUGUACAAUCGGUAUACACUGUUACGUUAUUGUUUUCAAUAAAUGCUUCUUUGCAAGUA